rnacentral:rRNA from 1 species
UUCGCCAUUUAAAGUGGUACGCGAGCUGGGUUUAGAACGUCGUGAGACAGUUCGGUCCCUAUCUGCCGUGGGCGCUGGAGAAUUGAGGGGGGCUGCUCCUAGUACGAGAGGACCGGAGUGGACGCAUCACUGGUGUUCGGGUUGUCAUGCCAAUGGCAUUGCCCGGUAGCUAAAUGCGGAAGAGAUAAGUGCUGAAAGCAUCUAAGCACGAAACUUGCCCCGAGAUGAGUUCUCCCUGACUCCUUGAGAGUCCUGAAGGAACGUUAAAGACGAUGACGUUGAUAGGUCGGAUGUGUAAGCGUAGCGAUACGUUGAGCUAACCGAUACUAAUGAACCGUGAGGCUUAACCUUACAACGCCGAAGGUGUUU